GUUUGGAGUAACUUCAGCUUCCGGUGGAAACGGCGUGUUGGUGCAGUCAGCCCCGCGGACAGCUCGAGCACCAUGGCUCGAAAUGCAGAAAAGGCCAUGACGGCUUUGGCGAGAUUUCGCCAAGCUCAACUUGAGGAAGGGAAAGUUAAGGAACGAAGACCUUUUCUUGCCUCUGAAUGUAAUGAGCUACCGAAAGCAGAAAAAUGGCGACGACAG